AACGAACGCUGGCGGCAGGCCUAACACAUGCAAGUCGAGCGCCCCGCAAGGGGAGCGGCGGACGGGUGAGUAACGCGUGGGAACGUACCCUUUGCUACGGAAUAGCCUCGGGAAACUGGGAGUAAUACCGUAUGUGCCCUUCGGGGGAAAGGAUUUAUCGGCAAAGGAUCGGCCCGCGUUGGAUUAGGUAGUUGGUGGGGUAAUGGCCUACCAAGCCGACGAUCCAUAGCUGGUUUGAGAGGAUGAUCAGUCACACUGGGGACUGAGACACGGCCCAGACUCCUACGGGAGGCAGCAGUGGGGAAUCUUAGACAAUGGGCGCAAGCCUGAUCUAGCCAUGCCGCGUGAGCGAUGAAGGCCUUAGGGUUGUAAAGCUCUUUCAGUGGGGAAGAUAAUGACUGUACCCACAGAAGAAGCCCCGGCUAACUCCGUGCCAGCAGACGCGGUAAAGUAGUCG
rnacentral:rRNA from 1 species